CCUACGGGGGGCUGCAGUGGGGAAUAUUGGACAAUGGGCGAAAGCCUGAUCCAGCCAUGCCGCGUGUGUGAAGAAGGCCUUCGGGUUGUAAAGCACUUUCAGUGGGGAAGAAAGCCUUGGGGCUAAUACCCUCGAGGAAGGACAUCACCCACAGAAGAAGCACCGGCUAACUCCGUGCCAGCAGCCGCGGUAAUACGGAGGGUGCGAGCGUUAAUCGGAAUUACUGGGCGUAAAGCGCGCGUAGGCGGUCUGAUAAGCCGGUUGUGAAAGCCCCGGGCUCAACCUGGGAACGGCAUCCGGAACUGUCAGGCUAGAGUGCAGGAGAGGAAAGUAGAAUACGCGGUGUAGCGGUGAAAUGCGUAGAGAUCGGGAGGAAUACCAGUGGCGAAGGCGGCCUACUGGACUGACACUGACGCUGAGGUGCGAAAGCGUGGGUAGCAAACAGGAUUAGAUACCCGAGUAGUC
rnacentral:rRNA from 1 species